rnacentral:sRNA from 1 species
CUCUUUUUUUUUUAACUGCAGCACAGAUUUGUUCCUCCAGUUGACUCACUCAGCUGAGGAAAGAAGCAAGCAGACAAGCAUGGGACGCAGUCAUCAUCCAUUUGUUCAGAGAGUUUGUGACUGGCCAUCAAAUUGAACUUCUAUCCAUGGAGCUAUGAGUGAUUUAUCUUCCAUGGAGGGUGAUAUCUUCCACUGUGGUGGCUUCCAUUGUAGGGUCACCAACAGAACUGCCCAUAACCACUAACCCACGCUCUAUAUUCCACACUUGCAGAGACUGAGAUGAAAUAUUUAUUAACCAACUUUGUCUACAAUUGCCUUUUGAGAAGAAAUCAUAAAUGAAGAACUAACUAAAAUUUACCAACAUCUAGGCAUUUAAACCAAACUCACUGUAGAGCUGAGAUGUACAGUGCUUGCCGGAGAACUCUUAGUUCUGCAUUUAAAAUAAGUUACAUUCAAAUGCAAAGAGACACCUCCAAUAGAGGCCUGAGAGUAGUACUCAGUGUCCUUGUCACUGGAGAAGGCAGAUGAGGUCAGAGCUCCAGCUUUACAACUUACUGUGCUACAUUCUCUGCUCUGAUUUCCUUAAGCCAUGGAGAAUGCCUCAGUGACCUAUUCUGUCUCUUGCUGCUCACACUAGGACAAUGUUUAUCCUUCUAUUUGUAAACUAGCUGCCUUUGAAACUAAAUGUGUACCACAUGGUAAAAUGCUGACAGACACUUUCUGCCAAUAUUUCUAGGGUGCAAAGACGCAUGCUCAUCUUUCCUAUCACUGGCAAUAUGCUUGUUCCAGAAGUUCAAAGGGAAUUACUGAUGGCAACUUCUCAUUUCCCACACCAGUGCUCACCCUAACAUUGUACGACCACCUACGGUUUGCUGUAAUCAUCUCACUAUGGAUCUGUUAACGUCUUUCAUCAAAUUCACAACAUCUUAAAAUUGAGUUGAUCUAAUUUUACCUUUUUCAUUCAAUGCAUUUUUUGAAGAAUAUUGAGACCCCUUACCUUUGUGUAAUCAACAUGUGCUAAUAAAACUUCAUUUUGAAAACAUCA